CACCUGGGGAGUACGGCCGCAAGGCUGAAACUCAAAGGAAUUGACGGGGGCCCGCACAAGCGGAGGAACAUGUGGUUUAAUUCGAUGAUACGCGAGGAACCUUACCUGGGCUUAAAUGUAGAGUGCAUUUCGCUGAAAGGCGGAUUCCCUUCGGGGCUCUCUGCAAGGUGCUGCAUGGUUGUCGUCAGCUCGUGCCGUGAGGUGUCGGGUUAAGUCCCAUAACGAGCGCAAUCCUUAUCGUUAGUUGCCAGCGGGUAGAGCCGGGAACUCUAACGAAACUGCCGGUGUAAACCGAGAGGAAGGUGGGGAUGACGUCAAAUCAGCACGGCCCUUAUGUCCAGGGCUACACACGUGUUACAAUGGCCGGUACAGAGGGCAGCUACCUGGAGACAGGAUGCGAAUCUCGAAAGCCGGUCUCAGUUCGGAUCGGAGUCUGCAACUCGACUCCGUGAAGCUGGAUUCGCUAGUAAUCGCGCAUCAGCCAUGGCGCGGUGAAUACGUUCCCGGGCCUUGUACACACCGCCCGUCAAGCCAUGGAAGUUGGGAGUACCUGAAGUCCGUAACCGCAAGGAGCGG
rnacentral:rRNA from 1 species